GCCUGUGAGAAGCAGUCUUUAGAUCAGCUCUCAGAGAUGGGGUCAGGAGCUCCUUUGCUGUGGUUGCUGCUGAUUUGGGUUCCAGGCUCCACUGGGGAUAUUGUGCUGACUCAGUCUCCAGCCUCUUUGACCCUGUCUUCUGGUGAGAAGGCCACCAUCUCCUGCAGGGCCAGCCAGAGUGUUGAUGAACUAUUUGGCAUUUUCAAAAAUAUGCACUGGUAUCAACAGAAACCAGGACAGCCUCCCAAACUCCUGAUCUAUGAUGCAUCCAACCGGGCCUCUGGUGUGCCAGACCGCUUCAGCGGCAGUGGGUCUGGGACAGACUUCACCCUCACCAUUCACCCUGUGGAGGCCCAGGAUGCUGCGCAUUAUUUCUGUCAACAGGUUCUACCAUGGAGCCAGCCUGCAGAGGAGAAGGUUACACUGGGACACAGAUUGGAAGAACUGCAGUUGUGGUGCUGCACAUGGAGUCACAACUCAGAAGUUCGAGGCUGCAAACAAUCUUGAGAACCAUGCAAUAACAUUCUGGGAACAGUCUGCUUUUGAGAAAGUAUAUUAAUAACUAGAA